AGGGGUAUAGCUCAAUUGGCAGAGCGGCGGUCUCCAAAACCGCAGGUUGGGGGUUCGAUUCCCUCUGCCCCUG
rnacentral:tRNA from 2 species